UUUAUUUUUUUAUUUUUUUAUUUUUUUUUGAGGUGGAAAGGUUUUACUUGUGCAGAGGAUCACCCUAAAAUAUGUCUGUAAAUCUGGUUUAAUUAAGCAACAAGUUGUUAACUUUCCUUCGAAAGAAUACAGUACAAUUUGAAACACAAUUACAUAUGAAAGUUUUUCUAAACAACACAAAUGAAGAAAAUUGUGAAUUUUCUUUUUAACAACAAAUUAGGGUCGUGGAAUUUGGCAAAUAGAGGGAGCAAAGAAGAAUUAGAGGAUAAGGAGUAUAAUUAAUUCCUUAUCUUUUAAAUUUACACUUUGGUCGUAGAGUCUUCAUCGUUCUGUUAAUCAUAUUCCACACAUAUGAUUUGUAUUGAAAUUAUGGAAAGGAUAAGUAAUCAUCGUUUACAUUGCAGUCAUUUGUAAGCUAGCUAAGAAACAAGGGCAAAUUCCACUUUGUACCCCUUAACUUGCGCCACUUUCUCACUCUAAACUUCAAUUUUAAACACUUUGCAUCCUAAGAUCUCAAUUUUGGAUAUUUUGCACCUUAAAUCUCAAUUUUGUCCCAUUUAAGUCCAAUUAAUGAUAAUUUUUGCAAAUUGAUGAGAUAAAGUACAGUCACAAUUAAUGAUAAUGUACCAUUUUUUUGUUUAAUUGCGACCCCUUGAUUUUUCUUUUUUAAUCAUUUUUCAGUACAUUGUCAUUAAUUUGUAUGGUUUGGAUCACUAAUAUUAUUAGCCAAAUUAACGCGGUGAGAAAACUGAAAAGAUGUACUCCACAGACACGAGUCUAGGAACAUGCAGUUUGCAUUGCCUACCUUGCACUGAUGGCCUAUUCCAUAGCUUUCCCCACAUUUAAAGCAUAGACCAGUAGCCUUCUAUACUGCGUUUCCUGUGUUGAAGGUUUCUUUGAGUCCUUAAAUUGGCAAAUGACCAGCCACCUUCAGUUUCCUCUGCUAAGUACUAGGCACAAGCCUGUAAUUGUUCUCUUUACAUCUUAAAAUAAUUAUUGUUACCACUUUUGCUACAAAGAGUAGGAGGGACAGGGUGUCAACUCCUUUCUGCCUGCUCCUUUCUAGUACUGGUCAUCUGAAUCUUUUAGUAGCUUGUUUAUUAAUGAUUUGAUAAUUAAGAUAACGAUGCAGUCCACAAACAUAUGCCGAGUUUAUGCUAGAUUUUGGUACAUAUAUGGUUAAUUGCUCUUGUUCGGCAAAGAUCACAGAAGAAAGAGGUGUUUGUUUCACUAAAUAGUGGGACUCUUAUUGGUCACGUAUACGACCUCCUAUUGUUUACUAUCUUAAUCAAGUAAUUUGGAUACUACAAAAAAUCAUGCAUCAAAAACUUUUUCCCUUUUUUUUUGGGGGUAGAAAGGGACUAAAAUAUUAUUAACAAAUAAAAAAUAAUGGGCACAUAGCCAGUAAGCACCUAGACAAUAUUGGUAUAUUAUAAAAGACUGUAUUGGUAUAUUAUACCUGUAGAAUAUGUGAGAAGGGUAUAAGCAUUCAAUGCCUCUGCCCUGUCAUGUUGGGAUUCAAAGCCUAAUUUUUAGCGGGUUAGCCAAGCCAGUGAAAACCAUUCUUAGUUUCAAAGUGGUUGGCAUCACGGUCAAAAGUAAAACGGAGCGACUAUCUACCAAACGGUAAAAACUAUCCAGAACAACUAGUUUCACGUGGUGGGGUGGGGGGGUGGGUUUGGGGUUAGGAUAUUAGCCUCCUCAGGAAUCACAUAAAUUACCGACUUUUGUGGUUUUUGUGGAUUAAGGUUAGUAAACUACCGUAAAAAUCUUUAGACUUUGGUAAAACAAAAAACUAGUUUCACGUGCCAUUAUUCUCUUCUCCGGUCUGAAUCCAUCUUCGAUGAGCUAUUCACUUACUUGUCUAGUGAAACAAGGCUAAGGAUUUCAAUUAAAAAUUAUAUCUAUAAAUUCCAUUGAAAAAUGAUGAGAGUUAAGAAGCGAAAGAAACAAAACUAACGAUUACUUAUAUUCAUCCUAUCAUUCACAUAAUUAAUUCAAGUGCUGUUAACCUACCUUCCGCCUUGUUCCUAUUUUGGUUGUUAUUUUUAAGAGUUUUUGUAAAAAAAAAAAAAAACUAUAACAAUUUGAUAUAUAUAUAUAUAUAUAUAUAUAUAUAAGUUAAAAAAAGUAGUUAAAAAUGCAUUUAUGAAAAAAGUAAACAUUUUUCUGCGAAAAAAACUUAUCUAGACAACGUAGUUACUCACAAUGCGUGGAAAAUGGGCGAGAAGAACCAGUACAACCUAUAACAGUUGAGGUUGAUGGGCGUCGGAGAUUUUUUCCCUUGUGGGUUCGACUGGCAGGGCACUCGUUAAUUUUUUUUGAAGGAUCAAAACGGUUAAUUUAAUCUCCCCUGAUAAUUCCAGAAACCUCCCCUGAGAUUUCUAACAAUUUCACUGAGCUCUUCUACGAUUUAAAGAAUUACACUUACCUCCCUUAAUUUGAUAGUUUUAGUAACAAAACCUUAAAAUAAGAUUGACUUGGACAAUUUUUUAAAUGAAUACCCAAAAAAUGCCCUUUUGGAAUGAGUUUUAAUUUAUUUUCUUAUAUAAUUAUAAGAUUAUUUAUAUAAUUAUAAGGAAAAUGUGCCAAAUUUUUCAUGUUUAUAUCUACUAUUUGAUAAAUAACUAUAAUAAUAAUUUGAAUACUAUGAUAUGAUAUUUUUUAUGAUAUUUUAUUAUGAAUUUAGAUUUAUAAGAUUAUAAAGAAAAUGUUGAAAUAAUUCAUUUAGAGUUUAUAAAUUUUGGGAGUAGUGGGAUUAUCAUAAUUUAGUAGUGCUUUUGAGCCAUUUCUUUUUUAUUUAUUGUUAAUUUUAAUACCAAAAAAUAGAAAACAAAAAUCAGCAAAAACAUUGAAUUACAUAUAAAAUUAAUUCGUUAAAAAAAUCACUAGUUCGACAUUUGGUUUAAUAGAAACCUAGAGGCAAUGGUGUCUAUUCUACAAUUUUAUUGGCGAAAAAUUUUAAAAAAGGAAUAAGAAGGAAAAAUAAUUUUAAAACUUAUUCUAAGUAUUAGCAUACCAAAAAGAAAAUUUCAUUAAAAUAUUUAAGGGCAAAAUUAUCAUUUUAAAUGAUAAGGAAUGUAUGUAUAAUUUUUAAAAUUUUAAAAGAGUUCAGUGAAAUUGUCAAAAGCCUCGUGGAGGUUUAUGAAAUUAUCCCUAUAACCUAGGAUCAUGUACUCUGACAAAAAAUGUCAUGAUGAGACUUCAAUGUUAUUUCUUGUCCAACGGAACUGAGAUUUGGGGGUGCAAAAAUUCUCAUCUAAUUGUGGGCGUGGUAAGAUGGAAAAAGUUGCCAGUAAAAUUUUUCAUUUCAAAAAAAAAAAAAGUAUGAAGGUAACUAUAGUUGAAAAUUUCUCAUCAUCAAGACUCAUGCCCUUGUAAUUUUUUGUAAUAAUACUAGUAACAAUGAACAAUUAAGCUUAUCGUUUUAAAAAAAAUAUUAACUAUGAAUAAUUAGCUAAUUAAUCCUCAAAUAAAAGUGCCAUGCUUUUUAUUUUGUAAUGUUUCAAUAUAUUUUUCAUAUUAAAAAAAGUCAAAACUAUAUUCCAUUUCUCUUUCCAAUAUCAUUUCUUCCUUUAAUGAUAUGCAUGUUGCAUUCAAAUUCAAAUUGGGGAGAAAGAUAAGAAUGACAAACAAAAAAAUCACAAUCAAAUCAUUAUUUUUUAAAAAUUUAGAAUUUGUUUGGAUUGACUUUUUUUUAAAAAAAAAAUUUAAUUGCACCAUAAACACGUUUUCAAAUCGCUUUUUUUAUGCUCUUAAUACACUUUUUUACAAAAAAAAAUGCUGCAGUAUUGUUCUAAAAAAAUUUUCUAAUAAUCUUCAUUCCAAAUAUUCACUUAAAUUCCCACAAUUAAAAAAAAAAAAAGGAAUGGAGGGAGUAAUACUCUACCUGGUAACAGAGAAUCGCAGUCAAAAGCAAAAGUGCCCAUUCACUCAAACAGUCGUCCACCGCUAUCAGGCAUUCUCGCUUCUGUACGUGGAUCCGAUGAAAACCCUGCUGCCAAAAAAGGAAGGAUGCACAAUUGAUUGAACACAACGUAUAAUACCAGAAUGCACCAUAAGCACAUUAAUAAUAUAUUUUCGGCAAACCAGCCUCUGGCGAACUACUUUUGGAAAGAGGAGAGUACUUUCAAGACCAGUACCCAACAAAAAGGAUUCCAUUUUAUCAAUGCCUCUGAAAUAACUAAGCACUGCUGGUACGUUAAUGUCGCGCUUGAUUAGACCCCGCCUUUCACGAAUACAUAAACUAAUUACUGUUCAUGUCCUGCUUAAAACGUCAUACACCUGGGGCUUUCUACCUCUCCGCUUUUCCGUUUCGGGUGACACAAGGCUUUUUACCAGCUCAAAAUCUCUGAGGCUUUCUACCUAUUUUAAUUUCAAUACCAGCCACUGACACUGGUCAACUCGCAGGUUGAAGUACCUUUUUUUUUUUUUUUUUGGUUCAAGGAACACGGGAAAGGAGACGAGAAUGUCGAGAGUUGAACACAAGAAAGGCGAAGGAAGAAGAUUUGAAAGUCACGACCAAAGUUAUACUACCUCAUUGGAAUAUUUUUACCAGAUGAGUGUAUGUAAGUUGCAGUCCUACAAAAUGAGUUAAAUCUUAGACUUGAUGUUGCUGGCCUAUUUUUUUUUUUUUCGAUCGAUAAAAGUUUGAAUGGAUUUGACUCUCAAUAUAUGUCAUAGCGAAUUACAACAUAUCCUAAAGUUACAAUUAUGGGUUGGCAAAAAUAUUUGUUGAUCCAAAAAUUCAUGAUUCAAUUCGAUCCACUCCCAAAAUGGGAUGCGCCCAAUUCGUAUUUUUUGAUCAUGCCAGAAAAAGGUGAAGUACCUGCUUAUAUUCGAAGUGGAUUAGGAUAAGAGGAUUAAAAAUCCAUGAGUACUCUUCCCACUUUGCAUAUAUACACACACAUAUGUGUGUAUGUGUGUGUGUAUGUAUAUGUUAUUUUUUAUUUUUAUAUACGUCCACAAAAUAUUAUUUUUAGAGCAAAGUAAAUAAUUUUAUUGAGUAAAUUACUCUCCAAGUAUGAGUGCCUAUGACUUAUUUACAAUAUUUAUUUGUAGAGGUCACAGUCUUAUCUUUUUUAGAAAAAAAUUUAAUUUAUGCAUAAUAUGUAUAUAAAAAAAAGGACAAUGCUUAUAGCAAUUUUCAUCAUCUUUGAAUUCUUUUUUUUUCCCUUUCUCUUGUAUUCAGGAGUACUUAACCCAUCCAAAACGGCCAAAUGCCGAUUGAUAUACGAGGUGAUUAAAAGUCAAAAAAUAGUUGAUCUAUAAGAUGCGAGUUGGAUCAACUAAAUGCCUUACGAACAAAACUCGACUCGUGCCCAUUCCUACUUGAUCAUUGAACAAUAUUAUUCUCGCAUCCGAAAUAAGACUCGAACACACAGCUGGCUCGUAGGCUCUUAACUACCGUGUUGUCUGUAGGAUUUGGACUUCGACUGACCUGUAAAAAAAAUUGUGCGCGACGAAUAGUAAUGUACAUCAAAACAAAUGAAAUUUACAUGUAGCGUACGAUUAGCUACAAUGAGGUCUCCUGUAGAUAAAACUAUAAAAGAGCCCCCCUUGAACAAUCCUCGAGUCUCAGCCAACCACCAAAACUUUAAAGUCUCGGUGAAGAUUUUAAAGACCCUUGUCUCCCACCAUAAAAUUAUCACUUAAUUGUAAUUAUCACUUCAAAUAACCCUCUUCGAUAACAUUCCCCAUUGGUUCUCCUAUUUUUAAAUUAGAUUAGAAUAAGUUAUACAAAUAUUAUUAUUUAUCAUUGCAAAUAAAAAAAAAAUAACCCUCAAGUCUUGAGUACGAGCAAUUGACCAAUGAACAGCAGCAAGUAUCAAGCCCAUAGCCCAAUGGGCCAACCCACAAGACCAUGAAUCAAAGCCCACGAUUUUGGAGGCAAGCAAGGCAGAGCAUGAAAACAAACAAUUAAAACGAAGGUGACAAGUUUGCAGAGCCAUUUCUAUGAUCUCUGGGGUAUAUGCUGAUGAAAAAAAACCUCUGCAAGGUAAAUACUAAAUUUCUUUCCUGAAUACCGAAACAAGGUCAUUUUAUUACUCACAUAUAAAUUUACAGAGACUCGAAACCUCUUCAAGUUCAUAAUGGAAAGUGGCAGCAGAAAUUAUUUCUCAAGAGUCACACUCAAACCAACCAACCAACCUCAAGUUUUUGAUAAGCAAGCAAAAAUAAUACUAAUAUAGUAGUAGUAUAUCUUUCUCCCUCGCCCAAUCCGUUGAACUCAAAACACCUAAUCUCAGUGCACUGAGAUUUCUUUUACGUCUUUCUUAGGCCUCUCAGUCCUCGGAAUGAUAACCGUAAGAACCCCAUCUUUCAUCUCUGCUCUGAUUUCAUCAACUUUUGCAUCAUCAGGCAGUAAAACACUGGUAUUAUAGUAACCAUAGAAGCUUGCCCAGUGACUAUUAAAAAAAACGUGAGACGGAGGGAAUACAGGACUAUUAAAGUGACUUUAGGGUUUGCCCAGUGACUUUAAUAGUCCUGGUAUUCUUUUUGUCCGAGCUUGCCCAGUGACUUUAAUUGUCCGAGCUUGCCCAGGACUAUUUGUCCAAGCUUGCCCAGUGACUUUAAUAGUCCUGGUAUUCUUUUUUCACACAGUUUAAAAAAAAAUAGUUAACUUUGUUGGAAAAGUAAAUUUUUUCACACAGUUUAAAAAAAAGUAGUUAACUUUGUUUGGAUUGUGUUUUAUUUCCCCAAGUUUAUCUGCUUACAUCAUCAUUACAAUUUCCAAUACACCUUUUUAUCUUCCCAAUUAUCUUUUUAUCUCACACACAUCACAUCACAAAAAGUGCUACAGUAAAAAUAUUCCAAAUAAAACACAAUCCAAACAAAUUCUUAGAUUGCUAUUUUUCUAAAAUAUCCUUACAUUAAAUAUGGUAUAACCUUAUGGGAACUUGAAUUGAUGGUAAAAAAAAAAUCAACUCUCAUUAAAUGGGGUAGAUUUAUAGUAACAACUACUUACAUUGAAUAAGGGUAUUUUAGAAAAAUUAAAAUACAACUACAUUCUUCAAUUGGAAAGUAGACUACAAUUUGAGACGGAUGAAAAAGGAAUACAGGACUAUUAAAGUGGGCUAAUUUCUUAGAUUAUAUGUAAAAAAAAAAAAAUAUCCGUCAAAUGGACCCUUGACAGGAGGUGUCUCUCAAACUAUACAGGCCGUGCUGACUCAGCACGGCCGCAUAAUAUUUUUUUUACUGGGUGCGUCCGCGUCCGCGUCUGCGUCUGACACAACUGAAUUUUGUGUCUCCCGGGGAUGUACCCAGUCAGCACGUCCCCGCGCUGACACAUGCGCACCACUAAAUUUUUUGUAGACAAGAUUUCGGAGAGAAGACGAAAGAAUGCAUUGUUAUUAUUAUUAUUAUUAUCAUCAUUUCACUCUUUCUCUGCAUCAAGAUCAUCACCGUCAUCUUCGUCAUCAUCAUCAUCUUCUUCUUGUUUGAUAUAAGGCUGUGAUGAUAUUUCUCUUUCUUUCUGAGUUAUAAAUCGGGCAUGGAGUUUACGGGUCCCGUAACUUGGCUGGGCAAACUCCUGAUGGCAUUAUUUGAGAUGGGUUCUCCAUGCUAAAAUGCACCUGGGUUUGCAGCCAUGGCGGUGCUCCUCCCUCUUUGCCUGUCCUUUUGACAGAUCUGAGCCUUUCUUUUUGUCUGGUUUUGCUCGUCUAGUUUUAGUUUGAGAAAACGAAGCAGCCGAGAGAUGGGUUUUUGCUCCUUCUCUCUGCUAAGCUUAUGAUUUCUUCAUUACUCGGUUCGAGGUUCCACCGGGUUGAUAUCCGGGUCGGUUUUUAUUGACUAUGUUCUGAACUGCGAGCCCUGAAGAAGAAUAAGGGAUAUUAGACAGAAAGGAUGAGGUUCUGGAGAGAGUUUGAGGGAGUUUCUAAGGGCGGUUACCCCUCUUUCUACAAUGCCGAUGAUUCUCAGCAAUUUUUCGCCAAAAAAAAAAAAUUAACAGCCCUUGACUGAAAAGAAAAGGCAAUAAAAAUAGAAAAGCUAUUGCGCGGUUUAUACACCUAGUCAUCGUCCUCGUUAUGGUUAUCCUGCUCAUCCUCAUCGGCCGUCAUCAGCAUCAGCAAUGGUCACUACUCAUAAGGCUGUGAUGGUACUAGAAAAUUUUGUUAUGUUGGAAUCUGUGAAUGGAGGCAACCGGACCCGUAUGUUGGCUGGGCAAAACCCAGAUGGCAUUAUUUCAAAAUGGGUUCUUUUCCUCCUCGUCACAUGCAACUGGGCUUUGCAACCAUGGCUGUCUCCUUCCUCCUUUUCCUAAUUUAUUUAUUUUUUCUAUAUUAUCUGAGCCUUACUCUAUAAGUACUCUAACUCCAUCGUUAGUGUGUGUUGUUUGAGAUAGACAUUUUACUUUGCAAUUUUUAUCUGGAAGCAAGCAUAUUGCUCUAGCAUUAUGGAAAUCCUCCAAAUGGUGGUUUAUAUAUUACUGGUCGAUAGCUCAGAGAAUGAGGCAAACAGAGUGAUGGGAUUUAUUUUAGAAUGGUGGUUGCCCCUCUCUGUUUGAGCCUAUGAUUUCUUCAUUAAUUAUCCAAAAAUAAAUCCUCCAGACGCGGACGUGCUGAUUGGGCACGUCCGCGUCUGACACAACAGAUCAUCACUGAUUUUGUAUCUCCCGGGGGAUGUGCCCAGUCAGCACGUCCCCGUCUGACACAUGCUAAGACCAGAAGCAGCUUUUUCAGCCACGGACGUGUCCAGUCAGCAUGUCCGCACUGACACCCUCUGCACCACUGAAUUUUUUGCAGACAAGAUUUCGGUGGUAUAUUUAAUUAUGCGGCCGUGCUGACUCAGUACGGCCGCUAUAGAAUGAGAAACAUCCCAUGUCAGAGGUGUAUUUGGCGGUUGUUUUUUUUAAAUAUAAAUAUUCUACGGAAUUAGCCAUUAAAAUGAGGCGGAGGGAGUAUCAUAAUCUUUUUGGGGAUAAUUAUCCAAUCUAAAUAAUGUCUGAAACGAAGCAACCCUAUGCCACGUGGUAUGAAUGCGGACCGGUGUAAUUAGAUCCUCGGACAAAUUUUCCAGUUUCCACCAGAUGGAGAGAUUGGGCAGACGAUUCUAGCCAAGAUUGGUUUUUCCGUUCUUAUCUCAUUUUUUUUGUCGAAACAACUACUCCCUCCGUCCCACUUUGAUAGUCUUAUUUUCCUUUUUCGUUUGUCCCAAAUUGUAAUCCACUUUCCCAUUAAGAAAUGUAGUAAUCUUUCAAAUUGUCUAAAAUACCUUAUUAAAUAUCUUGUUAUUAAUACAUUGUUAUUAAAUACUAACCCACUACAUUGAAUACAUUGAGUUUUUCCAAUACUAACCCAUUAGCUAUAACUGAUAUUAAUUGGCACUCUUCGUGAUUAGCAUAAGGGUAUUUUAGGAAAUUAUUAAUCUAAAUUUAUGUUUCCAACCAAAUUAAUUACACUUUCUUAAUCUGUGUGAAAAAAAAAUCAAGACUAACAAAACGGGACGGAGGGAGUAUUAUACUCCCUCCCUUUUUUUAUAACUGACGUUUAAGAAAUUUGCUCUUAAGUACUUUUAUCUGUCGUUUUAUUAUCCCCAUGCAGCAUUAAUUAUUUUUUCACAAUUUUACCCUUUUAUCUCUCUUUUCAUAAUUGGUGGGAGUUAGUUUGCAUUGCUUUUGACCUAGUAAAACAGCACCAUUUAAUACUCUAGUGAGAGAAAAUAUGAGUGAAUUGGACAAUUAAUGAGGGUACAAAAGGAAAGUAGUGUAUAGAUUUAAACAAUGAAAAACUUUUCUUAAUUGGUGUGCAAAACCUUAAACGUCAGUUAUAAAAAAAGGGAGGGAGUAUAUCUUAAACUAAACAAACAGGAGCAACUUCGGUUUUACCGAUAAGGAGAAUAUUAAUGCCAACCCUUUAUUUGUUAACAGUAAUCACUUGACAUUUUUACCAUAUGAAUUAGAAAAACACUUUCUUAUUUUUCAUUGAACUUAUAACUAUCACUUCUUAUAAAUCAUUAAAUUAUACUCUCUCUCCGUUCCACUUUUAUAUUCCUUUUUUCACAUUGUUUAAAAAAAAAAAUUAAUUAACUUUGUUGGCAGGGUAAAUCCAGCCUACCAUUUUUUUUUAAAAAUGCCUUUAUAUUAAUAGGAAUAUGACUAAUUACUACCUUUACAUUAAUCACAACAAUAAUUCUAUGGAAAGUUGCACCAUUUAAGGCAUGAAUCUAAGCAAUUAAGAAUAAGAUAGGUUAUACUAAUAGAUAACAAAAUACAUUAAAUAAGGAUAUUUUAAAGAAAUUAUAAGUUAAGUAUAUUUUUCAACUGCAAAGUGGAAUAUAAAUUGAAACGAAUGAAAAAGAAAACUGGACUAUUAAAUUACAAAUGGAAAGAGUAAUUAAAAUACUAAAAAUGAAAAUGAAGUGUAUGAACGUUUUUAUCCUUCUCAUAAGUAAGUUAAAAUUUUUUUUUAUAUUUUUUGUAAAUUUAUUUUUUAAUUAUUUUUUUACUUCAUAUUCAUUAAAUUAUUAUAGUACAACUUUUUUGCAAAAAUUUUAAAAAAUAGCAAUCCAAAAGAACUCUUUUAAGUUUAGACAAUUGUGCUAUAUGUGGUACUGCAUUUAGUAUCUUUUUUUACUUUGUCCUGUAUAUAAAAAUAAAUAAUAGAAGACAGCAAUUGAUAGGAGCAAUCAUUUAAAAAAAGAAAAAGGUAUGUUGACUGAGUUGCCCCUCCCAUAUCCUCUUCCUCCCACUAGUCCAUGUCACAUGCUCCUCCCAUUCACUUGUGGACUGUGAUCUCACAUCCUCCUUUCUAACCCCGACUUCCUCCCCCCUCUCCCCAUCCCUCAACUCCCCUUUUAUAUAAGUGCAGAAAAAGUGUAACACACACACACAAACACACACAGAGUUUGGUAUAAGUAAAGUCUAACGAGUUUUAAAGAAAGAUCUCGACAGACACACACACACACCCAUAUUAAAGAGGAAGAAAGGGGGAAUAAAAAGAUUGAACGACUCUCAAACGUUAGCGAAACAAAAGAGGAUGGCUGGUUUACAAAGAUCUGCUGUAUCAUUCAGAAGACAAGGCUCCUCAGGUCUAGUAUGGGAUGACAAGCUUCUGUCAGGUGAAUUGGGUCAGCAGCCGGCGCAACCCACCGACCAAAGAGAAGACCACCACCUCCUUCACUCCGGGACUACUGAUAACAGCGACAAGCAGCCUCGACAAGAAAUACUACAAGCCCAACCCCACGGCAAGCAACAAGAAGCCAAAGAAGAGGUCGCCGCCUCCCGGGUUUCACCAAGAACCGUUGUUGGAUCGAUUGAGAGGAGCCGAUCCAACGGCGGCGGACCCCGUUAUCGCACUGGUAGGGUGUCUCCGGCGAUAGAGCCGCCGUCUCCGAAGGUUUCGGCAUGUGGGUUUUGCACUUGCAGUGCUUUUGGGAAACCACCACCUGAAAAGACUCGUCGGAGACCUCCCAAGCAUGCGGGUAAGCGUACGAUGUGAUUCGGAUGUUUCAGUGUAUAUGUGGGGAGUCAUUUAAAGUUGGUGUUUUUCCGGUGGCCGGAGAUGGGACAUUCUGGUGGGGCGGGGCCUCCUAUUUAUGGGAUUAGGUCGUAGGAGUCGUCGGUUGUCAGAUGUCCAGUUGUUCAGCUGAACAGAAAGGAUGAGGUGUAAGAAUUUUUGGAGCUAAAAACUAAAACAAAAUUAAUGCUUUUGUCUUUUUUUUUUUGUGGUUAGUUUCUGGACCAGGUUGUUGUACUCUUGUAGACUGGCGGGGGGGAUAAUUCUGUUUCUUCUGCUGGAUGUAAUAUGUGAAUAUAUUGUCAGAAAUAUUUCGGAGCAUUUGUUAAAGUUGUUUUCAGUGUACAAACUACGAAACAAAUGUAGUAGCUCAAUUCAGAAUCUUUCCAGCUUUAACGGAUCUAUUUCUGUCAAAUUAUCAUCUCGACCAAUGCCAUUGGGAUUUGCGUUUACUGUCGGUCUUCUAGCGAAAGAAAACAGAAUCACCGAUUUUCAUGCAAGUUUCUAGAAAUCACAUUCGAAGAAGAAGUAUCAACUGUGGCGUCUGAAGAAAGUAGCAUUGGGUCGAAUUUUCGACAGGCUCGCGAGUAUGAAAUAUAUAUAGAGCACACGUUUAAUCCCAGUCAGGGGUUCUUGGUGGUUUUAGGUUAUCUAACUUCAACUAAUCAGCUGGCCGCCAGAGCUUCCGGGCUUUGGCCUUUUGGUACUACAGCAUAUUAGGAGUAGCAAGACUGCUUAGUUUCACAGUUUCAUGGACUGCAAAGUGGAAUAUAAAUUGAAACGAAUGAAAAAGAAAACUGGACUAUUAAAUUACAAAUGGAAAGAGUAAUUAAAAUACUAAAAAUGAAAAUGAAGUGUAUGAACGUUUUUAUCCUUCUCAUAAGUAAGUUAAAAUUUUUUUUUAUAUUUUUUGUAAAUUUAUUUUUUAAUUAUUUUUUUACUUCAUAUUCAUUAAAUUAUUAUAGUACAACUUUUUUGCAAAAAUUUUAAAAAAUAGCAAUCCAAAAGAACUCUUUUAAGUUUAGACAAUUGUGCUAUAUGUGGUACUGCAUUUAGUAUCUUUUUUUACUUUGUCCUGUAUAUAAAAAUAAAUAAUAGAAGACAGCAAUUGAUAGGAGCAAUCAUUUAAAAAAAGAAAAAGGUAUGUUGACUGAGUUGCCCUCCCAUAUCCUCUUCCUCCCACUAGUCCAUGUCACAUGCUCCUCCCAUUCACUUGUGGACUGUGAUCUCACAUCCUCCUUUCUAACCCCGACUUCCUCCCCCCUCUCCCCAUCCCUCAACUCCCCUUUUAUAUAAGUGCAGAAAAAGUGUAACACACACACACAAACACACACAGAGUUUGGUAUAAGUAAAGUCUAACGAGUUUUAAAGAAAGAUCUCGACAGACACACACACACACCCAUAUUAAAGAGGAAGAAAGGGGGAAAAAAAGAUUGAACGACUCUCAAACGUUAGCGAAACAAAAGAGGAUGGCUGGUUUACAAAGAUCUGCUGUAUCAUUCAGAAGACAAGGCUCCUCAGGUCUAGUAUGGGAUGACAAGCUUCUGUCAGGUGAAUUGGGUCAGCAGCCGGCGCAACCCACCGACCAAAGAGAAGACCACCACCUCCUUCACUCCGGGACUACUGAUAACAGCGACAAGCAGCCUCGACAAGAAAUACUACAAGCCCAACCCCACGGCAAGCAACAAGAAGCCAAAGAAGAGGUCGCCGCCUCCCGGGUUUCACCAAGAACCGUUGUUGGAUCGAUUGAGAGGAGCCGAUCCAACGGCGGCGGACCCCGUUAUCGCACUGGUAGGGUGUCUCCGGCGAUAGAGCCGCCGUCUCCGAAGGUUUCGGCAUGUGGGUUUUGCACUUGCAGUGCUUUUGGGAAACCACCACCUGAAAAGACUCGUCGGAGACCUCCCAAGCAUGCGGGUAAGCGUACGAUGUGAUUCGGAUGUUUCAGUGUAUAUGUGGGAGUCAUUUAAAGUUGGUGUUUUUCCGGUGGCCGGAGAUGGGACAUUCUGGUUGGGCGGGGCCUCUUAUUUAUGGGAUUAGGUUGUAGGAGUCGUCGGUUGUCAGAUGUCCAGUUGUUCAGCUGAACAGAAAGGCUGAGGUGUAAGAAUUUUUGGAGCUAAAAACUAAAACAAAAUUAAUGCUUUUGUCUUUUUUUUUUUUUUGGUGGUUAGUUUCUGGACCAGGUUGUUGUACUCUUGUAGACUGGCGGGGGGAUAAUUCUGUUUCUUCUGCUGGAUGUAAUAUGUGAAUAUAUUGUCAGAAAUAUUUCGGAGCAUUUGUUAAAGUUGUUUGAGCGUACAAACUACGAAACAAAUGUAGCAGCUCAAUUCAGAGUCUUUCCAGCUUUAACGGAUCUAUUUCUGUCAAAUUAUCAUCUCGACCAAUGCCAUUGGGAUUUGCGUUUACUGUCGGUCUUCUAGCGAAAGAAAACAGAAUCACCGAUUUUCAUGCAAGUUUCUAGAAAUCACAUUCGUCGAAGAAGUAUCAACUGUGGCGCCUGAAGAAAAUAGCAUUGGGUCGAAUUUUCGACAGGCUCGCGAGUAUGAAAUAUAUAUAUAUAUAUAUAGAGCACACGUUUAAUCCUAGUCACGGGUUCUUGGUGGUUUUAGGUUAUCUAACCUUCAACUAAUCAGCUGGCCGCCAGAGCUUCCGGGCUUUGGCCUUUUGGUACUACAGCAUAUUGGGAGUAGUAUGACUACUUAGUUUCACACUUUCAUGGACUUGAUGCAAAUGAAUUCACUGGUGACAAUUGAAUCCUUUUGACAUCACACUCUUACCACUAGUGGUUCAGGCCUAAUCUAACUUGAGCGAUCCACGAUUUACACAAGAAGUUCAUUCUUGCGGGCUUCUCCUUUCGACCAAAUUCUUGGAAUAUGUGCAGCAAUACACAUGAACCAGAAAGAAAAAUAAAACAGAGGAUGCGUGCUGCAACAUCAGAUAUGCACCUUCUUUACCGCUUUGCGACUCUAUUUAGUCGUCCGAUAAAACGUGGCUUGCUUACUCACACAUGAUAUUAUUGAUACCAUUUCUGGUUUAGCUGAUUUAUGGCCGCGGAAACAAUCCACAGUAUACUACUGAGGCUGAGCCACGUCAGCUUUGCUAAUUUUAAUUUCUAGAUUACCCCCUCCCUUCAAGUUUAUAAAACACCAUCUUCUUUUCAUAUUUUCCCCUGAUGUUUUGACCAGUCCUCAUCACUCAUUACAUCACCAUUCCUAAGCAACAAAAAAUUCUUUCAUACUUUCUCUCUUAUAGGAUAGGAGGAGGACUACAAUUUUUUCCACCAUUGCUAUCAAAAUACACAACUGGACUGAUAUAAAUUAGAGCAAAUGGCUCCGCCGCUGACUACUUUAGUAUUAUUUUCUCUGUGGUACGAUUGAGGUCAAGACUGAAUAAAGUUUUUUUUUUUUGAAUCCGUCAGACAUGAUGGCAUGUGAUCGUUGAAAUCUGGUAUGGCCAAUCUCAACUUCUCUGUGGUUCAUCUUUAGUUUAUUCCAUUUUCCUUUUGUGAGUUCAGCUGGUUUUAGGAUUUUGGGUUAGGGAGGGUAAGCAAAGCAAAAUCACUGCCGGACAAACUCGGUUUAUUUUUAGUGUACUUUCAAUUUGAACGCUUGCAAUCUACAAACUUCUGUUCUUCUGCAUCCAAUUCUGCAACCAACAACCUUUUUAAGUAAAUUCGGCAGUGCCAAACGGAAGCAGCAUGGUGAAAAUGCUGUGGAAAGGAAGAUUUAAUUUUGAACAUAACUAAGGCAACUCAACUGAUGCCAUCGGCCAACUGGAAAGAAGAUUUUGUUGCUGUCUGCAAUUCACUUGACAAACAAAUCUGAUACACGCAAACAGCAUGUCUACUCAAUCAAUCUUUAUGUUUUUUUUCAGACCAACUUCAGAAAGCCCAUGAAUCACAUGAGGAGCCAUGACCCAAAAGCAAAUUUUUUUUUUUUUUUUGAAAAGAGAAAGGGGUAGCAACAAAAGUUCAUUAAUCCUGUCUACCUUUCCAGUGUAAUUAGCCACAAAAAUUAAACUCGAGAAAUAAAAGGCCCAAAACAAGGCGUUACUAGAAUAACCCAUUAGGGCAGCGUCUGAAUCUGUCCUUGAAUUACAACAAUCUCGCAGGGCCAUCAUUGGAAAAGAGAACAGCUUCCUAUCAUUUCUUUGCAUUUAGCCAGCUGCAGCAUCUAUUCUACUCUUUAUUUGUACAUGGGGUAUAAAAUAGUAGAAAGAAUCGUUACUGGGUGGAAAGCAAUGUUUUUAAACUCGGAAGAAGCGUUUUGGUGCAGUAUGAGUGUCGCUAGGCAAAAACCCAUCAUUAUCCGCCCUUUUCAAGUUAGAAAACUAAGAAAAUCUGAAAAAACCAAUUAAGUGGAGUCAUUGUCAAUCCUUACCAAUUUCUCAAGAAUCAGCAACAACAGCAUCUUUAGAAGUAUGGACAGCUGACACUUUCUAAUUAGUUGCUCAAAUAUACUACUAACAUUAUCCAUGCACGGAAAGCAACGCAAAAUUGGUUUGGUGUUUCUCCAUCUUUGCUUAUUUUAUAGUUGAACAAGUCAUGACUUGCAAGUUGAGAAGAAGCACUAGUAUUUCUGUUCAUUUCAGAUAGCCUUCCUUCUUCUCGACAAGUCCAUAUUAAUUGCCAGUGAGGUUUGUUCCCGAUCGUUUACAAUUGCUUUCGCCUGAAAGAGUUUCAGACUCUUAGCUUGUAUGGCAUCAAAGAGAAUUAUAUUGCCCACGAUGAGCAUGCAAAAUCUGAUACACGUAAAAAAUAUACGCCUACAGAAUCACUCUUUAAUCUUUACACCCACUCCAUACAAUUUGCAUCGAUCAAAUCAGGAACCAUAUAUAUAUAUGUAUAUAUAUAUGACCCGAAAGGAUAGAAAGAAUGAGGGCAACAAAACCUCAUCUGCCCUGCCUAUCAUCAUCAUCUGGUGCAUUUGGGCCUCGUCAGAAAUUUCAACCACUUUCGGUGAAAAAUGGUAUAUGCACCCAAGAAAUAAUAACAAUGAUAAUCCUAUCAAUGCAGGAUGACAAGUUAUUGGCUCCUAAUGGUGUAAGGUCUGAAUUCAAUCUCAAAUAAUUGAUAUUCUUGCAUCAAUCCUACCCCAGGUGCAGGAAGUAAUAUCAACGUUAUACAUAAUCAUUCUCUCGUCCAAUUAUGAAUGACGAUGAUCCUGGUAAGAGCCUUAAAAGGCUAGCUAAAAUAAUAAGUUCGAUAAAACACGCAUCCAUGAAGUCUACGAAACAACUUGAAAGUCAGUCAUAUUAUUACAUAAUCCGUUUUUGACCACCAAAGAUUGCGAAUAAUAUGUUGUCGUGCAAGUAGGUGCAAAUCAAACUCCAAUUAUGAUAGCAGUUGACAUUUUCAGAGAUAUGGCCGAUUGUUAUUUUGCAAACCAAAAUCCAAUAUUCUCAUUCUCAUUAUUACAAGAAAUCACGGCAGGAAGGAAAUUAUAGGUAGUGAACAAGGAUCUUAGCAUCUUUUCUGGUUCAACAAUGGUCACUUAGGUUCUAACUAGAUAUAUAUCAUUUCUUUUUCUUCAUGGGCUCUUCUUUCUAAUUAUUUCUUAAACGAAUGAAACUUGUAAGAUGUUGGUGUCUGGUACGAUGUUAAUUCACAACCUCAAACUAAAACAAAUCAUUCAUCAGAAUUUUUUGACAACUGCCACAUAUAUCUCCGUCUCAUUACUGGGCAAGAACAACAUAUUGCCCCCAACAUCAUCUUCGAUGAGUAUCAAUAAUCCAUCCAUGUGUGUAUUAUUAGCUACAUUACAUAUUAUUCUCCGGAGUUUUCUACAUCACUCAUAGAUAAGCGUUAGUUAAUACUUGUAAGCCAAUGCCAAGAACAAAUUAGUGCACAGCUCACAGGUGGAUCCGGCCACCGUUUGCUACUAACCAGUGACUACAAACAUGUUAAGCUUCUGAACUAAAUCGAAAGCAAUUUUCCGGAGAGGGAAAGGAAGUACGAUGCCCUAAAAAAAAGUUUACCGAGCCAAAUUAGCAUCCAAAUAACUUCAGGUCCGUGUUGGAUGGCCUGCUUUUGGUUUGUUAAAAAAAAAGUUUGUUUGAAACACCAUCUACAUAAAGCAGUCACAAAUUUUAUGUAAAUACAAAAAAUAAAAAUUUUAAAUAGGUUACGGGUGAUGGAGGUGGGUAGGAUGUAGGAUGGCGAGUGGUGGAGAGGGAGAGAUGAAAAAAAUAGAUGUUUGUAGUGUUUCGAACAAACAAGUACAAUAUAUAUAUAUAUAUAUAUAUAUAUAUAUAUAUAUAUAUAUAUAUAUAUAUGUAUAUAUUUUAAAACAACUACAAUAAGUUACCAUAAGUUUUCAAUAAAUACUCAACAAACACCAUCUGUACAAAUCCCAAGUCGCAUUGGAGAUUCAGAAAAGGAUAGGUAUUAUGCUUGCUUCCAAGAAUUUCUUUUGGUGUACGCAAAAGAUCUUGAAUCGAAAAUCUCCUAUUUGUAAUUCUUUCCACUUUACUAACUCAAUCGUCCCCCAAAAAAUUAAGGAAUACAAUAUAGGGAUGUAAUCGAGUCGAAUCGAGUUCGAAUAUUACCAUACUCGAGCUUGACUCGACAUGCAAGAACGAUACUCGAGCUCGAGCUUGAUGUUUGUUCAUAGAACUCUAGCUCGACUCGCAUGAGCUCGAGUCAAUGCGAGCCUUAUUAAGCUCGAUUGAGCUCGAGUUAAAAAUUUCAUUAUCUUGAUAAUUUUUGAGCGAAAAGAUAUUGAUUUUCAUACGACCUAAAAUAUUUCAUAAAUUGAACAACUCUUUUGGAUAUAAGGGUAAUUUUAUAAUAAUAAUAUAUUAAAGAAUUAAAAUUAAAAAGCACAAUAAAACUCGACGAGUUUUUGAGCAUUACUUUUGGAUACUCGAACUCAACUUACUUGACUUAUUGAGGCACUCCAACUCGACUUGAAUUCGGGUUGAUCGAGUUCGAGUCAAGUUUUGACCGACUUGGUCCCAAACAGUUCGGUUCGAUUACAGUCCUACAAUCUAAAACAGGUAAAGUUGGAGAGCUUUUCUUCCUAGUCAAGUCUUCUGACAAAAUGUGAUUUUAAACGAGUUGAAAACCUUUGGUUGUAGGCUGCCAGAAGUGUGCGCUAUAAUAAUGAAAUUGGAUCCGUUUAGGCCCAAGUUCUCACAGCCCAAUGUUUGACCCGUUAUAAUGUAAUGAGUAAUUGAUUCAUGAAAAGAAUAUAAACAAUUGAAAGUAAUUGCAUUUUACGCCGUGGCACCCUCAAAAUUUGAAUAUACAAUAAUAUUAAGCACAAAACAAUUUUUGUGAAAAGUUUUUGAAAUGUUCUUUUGGUGUAUUUUAAAAUAGUUUUUUUAUUUCACAUAUAUCAUAUCUUUACAAUAAUUAUUUUUUAUAAAUAUUUUUAAAAAUUUAAAAAAUAACAAUCCAAACUGAAAAAUUUAAAAAGUAGCAAUCCAAACUGGCCCUUCAUCGUGAAACAAAAUCUUUCUUUUAGUAAUUAAAAUUCUUGGGUUAAUUAAAUUAGAUUUACUAAAUUCUAAUGUUGAAAACAAUAGUUAGAACAAUUAGAUGGCAAUAACAAAAUUUCUUUGUGAGAGAGAUCUUCGAACUUGGUUUAACAGAAAGUGUAAAAUUCGAACUACUGCAUUAUAAGCCUCUGAGAUGUUCUAAAACGUCCACGAGGCAAGCCUAUAAGAUGUCGUCGUACUGCAGAGGAAACUUCUCACCCCCUGCAAAAAAGCAGCCAAAUCCAACACGAAGUGGCACUUGUAAGAAUAUUAACUAGGCGGGAGAAAAGCCCACCCACUCAUUUCCCACGGGCCCCGGGGUGGAUGGGAAAGCUGAGAUCUUCCCCUUUUGUUUGUUUUUCUUCUCAUUCUACUGCAAUUAUUUCCAGCAUUUCUCUGUGUUUUGUGCAGAGAGCUAGCAUUAUAUUCCUCUUCUUGAAUUUCACAAAUGUAAGUGGGGUUAAGUUUGACCCUCCAAUCCAGCUCCCAGGUUCAAGAACGUCUCAGUCUGUUUCGAACUCCAGCACUGUACUCUACAUUCAUGAUUUUGGGGCCAGAGGAAAUGGGAUGAGUGAUGACACUAAGGUAUCACUGUGUUGUUAUUAUUUUUCCGUGCCACCUGUUCAAUUUAAGUUUGUUAUGAUUGUGUUCAGCUGUGAUUAAUGCUAAUUUGGAUAACCUUAAGGUGAUAAUGAGACACCCCUGAUUAUUUUGAGCUUUAUGUGUGUUCAUUGUUGCUUUCAUGAACAGUUGCUAUGCUGCUUAGAGCAUUUUUCUCUCUGCAGUACUUAACAGAGAAAACAAAGUAAAAAUGACCUUUUUUUGGAUGCAACUCGGCUGUUUUCCUGGUCGCUUUAUCUCAAUAAUAGUUCAUGCUAUAACUUCGUUUUCUUUUGAGGUGCAUUUUCAGCUCUACAAAUGGGGAUAUCCAAGUUCUCAUCUUCUGGGUCAAGGUCUCAAUCCUGAUUUUGGAAAUGUGAAAAGUGAGUGGUUAGUGCCCGGUAAAGAAAGAAAAAUUGUUACCACUUAUAAAUACUACUAGGCAUGACAAGGAUUAUGGAUGUGACUGUAAACAUGACUUUUUCAAUUUCUGUUCAUGCCUUUACUAAUUUCAUCAAGGAAAUUUUGCUGAUUCUGUUUGGUACCUGAACCUGAAAUCAAAACUUUUGGUAAUAGGAAGAGGACUUAUCUUUCCUUCAAUCUAUUAAAAUCAAAAUUUUCUAAACCAGGCUCGUCAGUUCCUUUUAUCCUGUCUAAGUGACUUCCUCAGAGAUGUAAAAGGUUUGUAGUGUUUUAACUUCGCCUCGACAGAAGAAUAUUCGUGUCUACUAUGAUGAAACUCAUUGUGAUGUUGAUUUAUGUUCUGGAUUUGUUCAAUAAUUACUCUUUUUGGGCUAAGGCUUUUCAAAAGGCAUGGAAGAUAGCAUGUUCUUUGUCAUCUGAAGCAAAAAUUGUAGUCCCUGCUGGAAAAAAGUUUCUGGUUCGACCAAUUGAUUUUUCCGGGCCUUGCAGAUCAGGUUUGACUUUAUGGGUAAGAGCUGGAUACAAUUUCUUUAUAGAGGUUAUCAAAAAACGCAUUGCAGGGUUCAAUAUGUUGUCAGGCAGUUAAAUAGCACUCAUACUGUUCAAAUUGGUUGCAUUGUACUAUAUGCCUAGAUUUCUGUACGAUUGUAGCACCCAGGGAUCCGGAUGUUUGGGACGGCUUGGAUCCUAAUAAGUGGCUUUACUUUCAUGGGGUGAAUUACCUCACAGUGGAAGGUGGAGGGACGGUUGAUGGGAGUGGCAAGGAAUGGUGGGCUCGAUCUUGCAAGAUUAAUCACACAAAUGUAUACCAUUGCAUUACUUUAAUAUUCCUAAUAUGUCUCUUUUCGUUUUCUUUUCCUUUCAAAAUUGCAAGUUUCUGAUGUAAGAUGUGUUUAUAUAUGGCAGCCCUGUCGACGUGCUCCAAAGGUUAGCACACCUUUGUUCUCCAUGCCCUCUUUAUCUUUAUUCUCUCACUGAAUACAUACCUAAUUUUGUAGUUUCUCUUUUGAUAGAUAUUGUCUAUGUAUUUUUGGGGCACAGGCGAGGAGUAAAUCUAUGGCAGGCUAUUCUCAUGCACAACCUAAUAUGAAUUACAAUAACGUAGUGAAGGAAUUUCUUUGAAAAACUAGAAUCCCAGGGUGGAAGGGGCUCUUGAAAGUAAAGGUGGACAAGUGAAUGGCUAGUUUAGGCUAGCGGAAUGAGGACAGCUUGGAGAACAUUUUUCCUUAAUGAGUUCUAUAAUUAACAAUGCAGGCCAUAACAUUCCACAGAUGCAAGAAUUUGAUCGUGAGGAACAUUAUGUCAAUUAACAGUCAGCAGAUGCACAUGGCAUUUACUGGUUCUAAACAGAUUGUGGUAUCCUAUCUCAGAAUUUCUGCGCCUGCACAUAGCCCCAAUACAGAUGGAAUUCACAUUAGUGCAUCAAAGAAUGUUGAAGUUAAGGAUUGCAUUAUAAGAACAGGUUUGUUGGCUGUCUUAGUACUCUGGCUACAUGUUAGGAUUUGUUAAAAAAAAAAAUCCCACUCCCAUAAAAAAAAAUAGAAGAAAGAAAGAAAGAAGAAGAAAGCAUUCUUGCUUGUUAUUGACACUUGAUGCUUGUAUGCCAUCUUGCAGUUUUUUGGGUGAUGUAUACUUUACACCACAAAAAAAUUUGAAACUAGUGGCACUGAGAGUUAAGUUGGACCAAUUGGUCUCAUUGUAGAUCUAUGACAUUCCAAUCAUUUCCAGACUAGAUUUGUUAUUGUCAUCUGUAAAUGCAAAAUACUUUGAAAGGCUAGGUCAAAUCUUUAGGAGAUGAAUUCAUAGUUUCUGGGGUCAAAGUUGUCCAGAAAUUUCAUGCAAGUCAGAGGAAUAUUGGUGAAGGAUAUAUGUUAGCUUCAUCCUCAAAAAUUGCAGAGAUUUAAAUAGAUCAAUAAAAUCAAGAUAGCUAUCGUUAUCCUUGUAUAUAUAUAUAUAGUAAAAUGAAACCAACUUACUUUCUGAGCUAAUAUGCUGGAAUCACAGUCUUAAAGUAGCUAGGGGGUCUACUGUAGGUUGAAUGCUGAUCAUAUAAUCCCUUAUUUACAUUAAUUUUCAAUCUUGCAACUCUACUUCUGUAGGAAGUGAUGGUUAAAUAUAAUUCAACUUGCUCAUUUAAUUCAGUUACUCUGUAGAUCAGACAUGAAACUGGUCAAUUCAAGGUAAAGGUUGUUUCAUCUCAAUAAUGAUAGCCCUGGAGUACAAUAAAUAAUUCAACUAUCUGAUUUUGCACACUCAUUUGCAUAAUGCUAACUCUAUACUAGUUGUGAAAUGUUGUAGUUUCGUUGCAAUUUUUGAACUCCUAAGAUUGACGAUGUGAGGACUACUCACUCAUAAUGCUAAAGUGGUUUGAGACGAUUGUAUUAAGAGAAAGAGACGUUUUCCUUCUUUUGUACUUUUCUCCUACUAAAGAUCUUAUGCUCUUUGAGCUGAGAAUGAAGCUGUUCUGAGUUAAAAUUCUGCAGCAGAUACCAUUCUUCUUAAAAGUAUCCCUAUAUUUUUUUAGGAGAUGACUGCAUAUCCAUUGUCAGCAAUUCUUCAAAAAUUCUUGUUGAAGGGAUUACCUGUGGACCCGGGCAUGGUAUAAGGUAAUAAGCUCUUGAUUGUUACUUGGAACCAUGCUACCAGCAGAACCUCUAGAAAUAAUAUCUGUUUCGUAGUAUUGGAAGCUUGGGGAAAUCAAAUUCACGGGACCAGUGCAUGACGUCAAAGUUAAUGGAGCAAAUCUGACGAAUACUGAGAAUGGUGUAAGGAUCAAAACAUGGCAGGUAAUCUUCCUUUCAAGUUCUGUAUCUGAUUCAUUUUCCAUGCAACUGAGCAGUUGUUAUGGAGAAUGAUAUUAGUAACCCACAACGAGUCGAUUUUUCUUUCACUAACAUUUGACAUGAUUUGCUUUUACUAGAAUUAGAUCUUUCCUGAGUACCUAAUCUCAUUUUCCUUUGACCUGUCUUUCAAUAUUAGGGAGGCAGUGGUUUUGCAAGGGGAUUACUUUUCAGAAUGUGUGGAUGGAAAAUGUUUCGAAUCCUAUCAUAAUAAAUCAAUACUACUGCGACUCUUUUGUGCCCUGUGCAAAUCAGGUAAGAGAUCUAUCAAAAGCUUGAGCUUGAUGGUAAAAUGAUAAUCAUAAUUCUGAAUGUGAUUAAGAUAAUAACUUUCAAUGUCAAUGCCCAUGCACCAUGUCUAGAGUGUAGAUCUCUCUCUCUCUCUUGUGCUCUAACCCUUUUUUCCUUUGCAUCAGCGAAUGAGUUCAUCAAGCUUUGCAAUCAUACGCCUGAUUGUGAUUUUUCUAGCUUUUGAUAGCCACAGUAGAAUAAAUAUUUUUAAUAUAUAAAAUGCUGAAAUUAUUUCACAUCGAAAGUUCAUGUCUACAUUUAUUUAUUUAAUGUAGUACAUAUCCAUGGAACUAAAUGCUGAUUCCCUUGACCCUAUCAUCAAGGAACUUUAUAGAGUAGAUAUGUGCUUUGUUGGGAUAAAAUCUGCCCUUCAUUUAGUAGCAUGCUUCAAAGUAAGAUACUCUUUACCUAAUUUUUUAAUUGACAGGCUUGCCUUUACCUGUAAUUUCAGUCGUAGUCUAUAUGUGUUGUCAUCUGUACUAUGCGUUACCAUUCUAGGCUCAAGGACUUUAAAAUCCAUUGUGCAGACUUCUGCGGUCAGCAUCAACAAGAUAUCAUUUGUUGGUAUAAAAGGAACUUCAGCCACAGAGACAGCAGUAUCAUUUGCAUGCAUGUAGCGACAGCUCUCCAUGUAGAAUGUUAUAUCUUGAAGAUGUCCAACUCACUUCAUACACUGGUGAAAUCACUACGUCAUUUUGCUGGCAAGCUUAUGGCUCGAGCUCAGGUCUUGUAUAUCCCCCUUCCUGCUUGUUAUCUUCCUGCAAUAAUCGCAUCAUUCAGCAGCAGGCUGAGUCUGGCUCAAUCCAGUCCAUCUGAAGAUAUUUACCAUUCUCCAAACGUAAAGUUUGGGGAUGGAGCCAGUAUUAGUAUGUUGGUUCACUUAAUGCCGCUUAAAGGAGUGCCAUUACAUGUCUUUUAGUACAAUAUAAUCAGAUGUCUAAAGCCGGAAGAAGAUGAAGUCAGUUUACAAAUGCCAAUAGGUUUUAGAAUUGCCUUCCAAAUGCGUGUAUUCUUUUCAUACAGAAAGACCCUUCAUUCAUCAAUGCACUAUACAUCGUAAAUGCAUUUUAUAGAAUUUUUGUACAGUAAAUUGUCUAAAUCCUCUUCUCCAAGCCAUACUCUUUCCCCCUAACUGCCAAAGUUGCUGUCAAGCAUAUCGUGCAACAGCAGCUGAAAACCCAUGUUUAACAUCUCAGUAUUACUAUUUCCAAAACUUCACGGAGUACAUAAAAUCUCAUUCUACUGGUAAGCGGUAAUAGAUAAAUCAACUCUAACUCUGAACCAUUUUAUCCAAGAUAACAGAUGAAAACUCAAAAAGAAUCCACAGAAGCAUUUAACUAAGAGAGCAAGCGCACGCCCAAUUUUGGACAUCCAGUAGCAAGUGGUAGGUCCAAGUUUUCUACAGUUCUAAACGUUCUUGGAACCAUCUUGUCGACAUACAGAGUACCAUCUAGAUGGUCACACUCAUGCUGCAAAAUUCGAGCUUGCCAGCCUGAAGCAUCAAUUUUGAUUGGUUGGCCAGAUUGAUUCAAUCCUGUAACUUCUACCUCUAGGUAACGUUCCACAACAGCUCUGAAUCCGUCAACACUGCAAAAACAUAAAAUCAGAAAACCGUAAAAUAAGAUCCACUGUGAUGUUUACCCAUGAAGAUUAGCUGUGCAAGUGUAUGAAUGUUGAAAGCUCUUUGAUUGAUUAGGAGCUCAAAUCAAAGAGUUCUUGAAUAAACCACAUACAAUGUGCAAAAAUAGGUUUUAUAUUUGUAUGAAAGAAAGAAGAGUCAUCAACAUGUGGUCAAAAGGGCUACAGGAUGCUUAAAGGAACUCUCACUUUUAUGUGCUAAAGUUUAAGACUCCACAUCUUAUGGGUACAGCUGAUAACUAAAAAGUACACCAGGAUGUUGUGUAAUCUUUAGCAUUUUUUAUACCAUGUAUGCAAGUAUAAACAAGUCAGAAGUGUUACUUUCCACAUGUAGUAACAAGUUCACAAACAUAACUAGAUAAACCACAUCCCAGGUUUUCAGAAAUUUGUUCCGGUUCUGCUUCAAACCCUCAGGUAUGAUAUGCAACUGAAUAAGCGCCUAGCCUAGAAAAAAUGUGACCAUGUGGCCCUUCAGCGAUGUUGUGAGAAGAAAAUGGCCAGGAAAAUCUCAUACUGUCCUCAAGUGUGCUGGAAAGUUGGACGUAUUGACUAUAAAUUGUCAAAGCAUAUUUAAUUUCCAACAAUGCACCUCAGUUCAGCUCGAUUCAUCUCAUCUCAUCUUUUAAGUACGAAAUUGAGAAAAAACUAGGAAAUUCAUGUAAAUCAUUAGUAUUUGAAAAAGUUGUUUUAAGCUAAAACAAUUGAAUCUCAGGUGCACUUUCUAGUCUAUUUCGAAAAACCCAAUUCAGCGACUAUCUUCAAAAGCAUUAACUAAUCAGAAUAUGUAUCAUAAAACAUUGCCAAAAUGAAUUAUGAUCCCAGAUCAUCCAGGUAUGUUCAUGACGGAUUUCCGCAUGAUGACAGGAUGUCUGAAAUUCGCUAGCUUGAGACUUAAACAAAUCAGAUAAAUGUUUCCUCAACGAGCAGAAACAAAAAAGCCAACGAAAUCGCAAAUGCAACAGACAUACUGUAAAACACAAUGCAACAAAACUAGAUGGUUAAUUAUACCUUAAACAGCCUUCAAAAAAUAAUGCAGCUUUUUUCCCCUUCUUUUUAAGCUUUGGAUUAAUAAUAACCUGCAUCAAAAAAACCACGAUUAACAGUUUAGCACUAGUCCAAUUCCAACAGCCAAAAUCAAUUCACUUCUACUAUUCUGUACAAUACCAAAAGUUCAAAGGGCCGCCUGUCUUGUGCUUUAAUGUCAUCCUUAGGAGCAUAACUUAUAUACUCUUUAGUAUCUUCCAAUACAAUUAUCUGUUAAUAAAAACAAUCAUAAACCUGACAAUGUUAAAAUAGCCCGCUUCAGCUGGAUCAAAAAACGAAAAAAAAAAAAAAAAAGAGUUUUGCUAGAAAUAAACAGACCUUUAAUGAAUUCCAAUCUGGGGCAGCAGGCAAGGCCAACCCAGGAGCCUUCCUCAUGACUUUAACCAUAUCCUCAAUGAUCUUCUGGAUCCUUUCCGACCCAAUUUCGUCGGUCUGACUUCCUGGGCGGUUCAUGAAGAACUGGGUCACCGGCUUUCACAAUUUCCGGCAAGACCUGCUUCUUUUCCGUCAAACCCAGAAACCAACCGGCGCGAGCGCGAAGUAGAAGAGCUGCUGCGACUGUAAGUUUUAAUGGAUGCUGAUGUUAUUAAGUUGCUGCACAAUGCGGGUUCCUGGUGAACGCGACCGGUUUGUGAAAAUGGGUUUCCGAAAAGUUAAUGCUGGGCGGGUCGUCGUCAAUGGGGUUUUGGUGAAGGUUUUCUGGAGGCAUUUUUGUGCUACAAUGGGCACGGGAAAGAGGCGGUGAGUGAACCGUUGAACGCCUUCCAUUCUGCAAAAAUAAUUAAAUCUGUAAUUUUUUUCUGGGUUCUCGCCCGAUUCCAUUUGAUCAUGUUAACGCUCUUGGGCUGCUGGGCAGGAAAAUAAUGAGUGAUUGGGCCUCAUAUAAGACCCAUGUUCUCUGAUAAGGCUUCUGACUUCAGAUAUUUAGUCGCCAAGGCCCAAGUGAAUUGUGAAGGUCAGGAGAGGUUCUUUUAUUUUUUUCAGGUUGGCCAGAUGCUGCUGAUGAACCAACUGCAUUUGUUGAGAUUAGAUUAGGAUUUUUGUUCCCAAGAUGCAUCUUAAUUGAACGGGAUUCUCAAACUCUGCCGCUUUUCCGUUUCACUUGUAAAAUCUGGAGUCUCCAUUAAAUAAAAAAAGAUUAGCAUCUUUGAUCUGAUGGAGGAGGAUGUCACAGUAGGCUAAAGUGCACUCAUUAAUUUAUGGGCUUACUUAUGCAGGCUAAGCCCAAAAUUACUAACAGCUGUAUUCAAACUUGAUCUGAAAGAAAUGUACUACUGUGUAAUUCUCAAAAGUGAAAUUCAUAAAAGAAUUAUGUUCAAUAAAAAGUUAGAAUCGGUAACUAAUUUUGGAUUAAUUUUAUAUACAUUCACACUACUGACAAUAUAAUAUAUUCUGUAAGGUGAUCGUUAGUAGUGGGCCUCCCCCAACAAACAACUGAAAAAAAAUAUUAUUGGAUUGAAAUCCAUACAGCUGUGCGUGCACUUGUCUGGUCUAAUGUAGUUCAUUCUCCGUCAGGUUUCUCUGACUCAGUUGGACCAUUUCAUAAAGUAGGCUCUCCCCUCCUUAGGAGUAGGAGUGGGUUAGAUGUGCCGUUACGAGGAAAAAAAAAAAAAAGCUUCUUCUAAAUACCCUGCGAUUCCUCACUUGUGCAUUACUAAUUUACUAUCAACCUAUGAGGUGGUAAUUAUCUACAUCUAACCCAAAAAUUUCUGUAACUCAUAUGUGACAACAACAUAGAAGCUAGAUCUUUCGGUUGACUUCUAGAAAAUUUCGAGUCAAAUUGCAUAGUUUGGCAAGUCCUCCAAACUGGCAGUGUUGGAAUAAUGAACGGGGGAUCUAUGACUGACCUAUAAAUUGCGGAACGUUAAAAGGUUUGGCAACAAUCAUUAGAUAAAGGACAAAAUUAGGCUAAAGGAAGAUCAAAUGCAUUAGUGUCAUAGACAUGUCCAUAUGUAGAUUGUAGAUCAAUAAUCGUAAUGCACUUAUCAGUCACUGUGAAUAAUACAGGUUUUACGUAGUUUUAUUCUACAAAACUACAAAUUAUUACUUGAUAAUCUGAUAUGGUUCAGUGCCUAGGCUCUAAGCUUUUUCAAAUUGACUCUUGUCAUCCUAAUUCUUGUUUCAACUUAUCUUCCCCUUCCCUGUUAGGAGAAGAAUUGCUUAAUUGAUCAUUCAUUUCGGGUAUCACAGCCUGUCAUCCCAAUGCCCACAAUGGAUCUUUUAAUGGAAGUCAAAGCAUUUGCAAUCUGCAUUAUGUCCAUUUCCUUUGCCCCUUGUUCUGGAAACAUCAAUUGAAGAGCUAUCGCGUACUGAGGAGCGUACCUAACAAGCUCUAUUUAGGCAUCGGCCGCCAUUCAGGCAGCUGUAGAUAUACCAUUGCCCAUCCUCUUUUUUAAUGCUCAAUCUAAGCUCUAUCUACUUCUAGUAUUGGCAUCUUUGGAUAUUGGCCAAUACCGACGUUAAGAGCCAGUUGAGAUUGCUGUUUUCUCAAAUUUUUAUAUAAAAAUAUACUAGUAAUUAAUGUAUACGAGAUAAAAGGAUGUUCGAAAAAAUAUUUAUAAAAAAUACUUAAAAUUUUUUUUUAUGAAAAAAUUGCAAUCUGCAGUUGGAUUCUGCGGUCUCAAUCACUCAACCUAAUCAUUGAUAUUAGGUAAGGAGAGUGGAUCUAGCUGUAACAUGUCAAUCAAUAGUCUCAAUUCCAAUUAUGCAACAAAGAGGCCAUCUCUUGCACUCAAAGGAAAAGCAUGCAUGCAGCACAGCUUGAUUAGAGAGAAAAUGGUGCCCAAUUGUCGGUGAAUGACUAUGCCACUCCUUAAGCCGUACGUUUCCAAGGUCGAGAAUUUCAGAGGCACAUUCGUGCGCGUGGUUUCAAGUAUUUCUUUCGAGUCUUCAAAGGCGGCGCUCUGGGAACGGCUUCCGGGGUGCCACCAAUCUUUGGUCAUUUGUUUGCCCUGCCUCCCACGCGAAAGAGAAACAUGUCCAAAUAUGAUUAUUUUUAUGAAUGAAUUAUAUGAGCACAUCUGAACCAUCGAGUUUUGGCUGUAUAGCCACCAAAAAUGAAUUAAGUACCUCUUUCAGCUGUAGCUGUAGCUGUAACUCGGAGGUUUAGAUCUCAUUUACUGUAAAAAAAAAAUUUCAAAAGAAGUGACAGAACACACUUUUAAUCUAAUCAAGUUCGUAAAUCUAUUAAUCCGUUAUACAAUUUUUUAGACUCCUCUUUCCCGUAAAAUAUGAUAAAUUAUGUUAUAUAAAUAUUAUCAUUACAGCCAAAAAAAUUUAUAUCAGCACCUCUGGAUACGUAUUAUAUGUAUAUAAAAAUGAAAUUUAAAUUUAAAUUAAGUGACAUGCAUCCAAAGUGGCAGGAUAUAUGUGGUCAACGUAUAUGAGAUUGAUCUUCAUUUUUUUCAACUUCUACAAUAACACGAUUAGAAUUAAAGAUAUAUGCAUUAACAAGUAAUUGUGAUAUCGGAAGACUUUUACACUUUCUUGGGUUCUAGCAUACGAACUGUCCUUCAUAUCCGUUGAAUUAUCAUAAUUGAUAUGCUAAGAAAUUAUUUUUGGCAACACGACAUAAUAGUGAACUGACUCAUGUAAAUAGAAUUUUCUCUCAUACUACAAGUAGAGGCUAAGUUAAAAACUUUUUCACUAUUUUCCGGUUUUUAUCUUUGAUUUUUGGUGCUUCCAAGAAACGAAGCCUAAUUUUGACUUUUCAUGCAGUUUUUUGAAGUCAUCACCAACCUUCCACAGCUGUGCCUUCGUGAUAGACUAGUCUACAUGUCUAUGACGCGGAAUCAUCUCCCAUAAUCUAAUUAAUUAUGAUGACAAAAGCGGCUUAAGUCACCAGUGCACCAAUCUUUAUUGUCUCUAUAAAUAUGGGCAAUUGACGAUAAGCUCAACGGAACAAGUAAAGAGAUAACCAACCGUAGGAUAUCAAGAACUCCAAAGAAGCUUAAAGAAAUGGAGAGCUCCAAAGCAACCCUCUACCUUCAGAGGCCAAAAGCAGUCGAGGAAGCUGAUAAUAAAGAAGAGAAGACAAGUCAUGGUCCGGUGAGGAGGGUAGCGGAGCCAAACGGCAAAAGGUUACUGGAGAGAAAGCCAACGGAGGAUAUAAAUGCGAGCGCUGAGGCAUUCAUCAACAAGUUCAGGCAGCAGCUGCUCCUUCAGAGGCUUGAGUCCAUUGAGAACUAUGAACAAAUGCUCAAAAGGGGCACAUGAUUUAAGUGUCGAAUAUCAUUGAUCAGCAUAGAGCAUAGCCCCCACCUUAUUCUUUUCAAUAAUCUCUUCCAUUGAUCCACUGUCAAUUUUUGUGUCCCUUAAAAAAAUUUGAUUUGUGCUGUGCAUCUACUCUUAAUAUAUAAGACAUUUUAUAUGGGGAAUUUAUAUUUGGGAUUGUGUGAGACUAUGAUUGCUUAUUUUGUAUCUUAAUAAUAAGCAACUCUUUGCCAGAUGCCCGAGUAAUUAUGAAUAUGAUAUUUCUAACGAUGCUGUUAAUAUGCUCAUAUUAUAUCAUAACUUAACGUGUAAACACGCACAAUUAUAAUUAUUACACUCUUCCUUUGAAAAAACUUUUGUAAAGUAAUUGUAAUUCUCUGAAAAAAAAAUCUAACACCUAAAGAUUCUCUUAAUUAUAGGAAUAUCUAUUAAUUCCGUCAGCCAAACUGUUUGUUUGUUGUUAGAAUUAGGGAGUAAAAUGAUGCACAUCGUAAAUUUAGUUGAAAUCCUGCUUAUGAGAUGGACAAGCAAUUUUAAGAAAGGCCGGAAAAGAUGCCAGCUCCCUAGGUGGAGACUGGUUGGACAAGCCAUGUUGGACCGCUCCAUUAGGAAGCCUCGUUUGCGUGGCUAGUGUUGGUUUUAGUCCAUUUAUAGUUUUUUGGGUCGGAGUCCAUUCUACAAUCCCCUUAACUAUCAGUUUAAGUAAGGUCCAUUUGGUUCAUCCCCAUACUUAUAUAGCAUGACAUAAAAUAGGACGAGCAAUCCCAUGUCGUCCCUGAUUUGGUUGUUUUUGUGUGUGGAUUAGCAUCCUGGUAGGUUAACUAAAAUAAUCCCGUCUUAAUGGGAUAAAUAUUCUGGACGUGUUAUUAUUUAUCCUGAAUUAGUAAUCAUUUUGAACUAAUUUUGGUAAGUACGUGUUUAUAUCAAAUCAAAACUUUUCAACAACAAAAUUAGAGUUGUUAAAGAAUCGAGCUAGCUUGUGAGUUCAACUCUGUUUAGCUCGUUCGUUUAUCUAAACGAGUCAAGUUUGAACAUUAAAUUAGGCUUGUUUUCUAAUUGAACUUAGCUCACGAAUAGUUCGUUUAAUCUCAUUUGUACAUAUAUUCAAAUUAGUAUUUCUUUUUUUUUUGGGUGAUUAUGAAGAUUUAACCUGUCUCGAUUGUUUCGGAUUUUACUUUGUUUAAAGAAUUAGGAACUUUCUUAUACUUGGUGAAAAUUUUCUCAUUCAAUAGAGUAAUUAAACUGGUUAACUUUUUUGAGUUGCAAAAUUGCAUAAGAUAUUCAAGCACAUUUGAAGUUUUUUUUGAGUUUGAACUCAUUUGAUCUUGACUUGCUUAUGUUAUAUGAGUUGAGUUCGACCUCAAGUUCAAUUUAGCAUAACUUUAAUGAGUUGAGUUUGAACAUAAUUUUUGACUCGGUAAAUAAACGAUUAAACGAGUUGAGUUUGAUAUUGACUUGUGAAAAGCCAAAAGCUAAAAGUUCAGUUUAAUUCGACCCGUUUUCAGCUUUGCACAAAAUCGAACUUUUUUAUGCAUUACUCCAUGAACUAUCCAAUACUAACCAAACGUAAUUCAAUACUUAAAUAUAAUAAGAUCAAAUCUUUACAUGUGUUAGACGUGUUUGAUAAACAAAAAAAUAGAAUAUUUGAAUUAAUUAAGUGGUACCGAAUUUUCUAAACAAAAUUUGCUCUAAAAAAUAAGUGAUAAACUAUUGAGUUAUCACUUAAUGUAAGAUACACUCAAAUGUAUCAAAUUUGAUACAUAACAAUAAUGAAUUCAGAAUUUAGAUUUUAGUUUUUAGAUUUCAAUUUUAUCAAAUACACCCUUGGUAUAUCAAAAAAGGACGAGUCAUCUCAGGACAAUUAGUCCCCGUAUUAGUUAUUACUCAUCCUCCCUCAUCCAUGAUCCAAAUGAGCCCUUACAGUAUAUAAUCUUGGCGUUUACAUUUUGUCAUUUAUAUAAAUAUUAACUUACUAACUUUUCAAUUAAAAAAAAGAUACAUUAAUCUUAGCUCAUUGGGUUUCAUGAUAAUUAAUUGAAAUUUAGCUUCAUGGAAGACUGUUAAAAAGAUCAACUCCAUCAUAAAAUUCCUGGAAUGCGCAAUUCCGAUCAAGAAAUUCACGGAUAAGGACCAUACGCUUGAUUAAUGAAAAUGAAUGUACUCCCCGACAACGACAGGAUAGCGGCGUGCCUUCCUCUUCCUGGUUGGGCCUUCCUCAGGAGAGGCGCUCAUGUCCAAAUUCACUGCGAACGAACGAACGAACGAGAACCGGGUGUCAUGCACGGGUGGGCCCAGUUCUCUUAAAAAUGAACGGAAACCAAAUGACUUGUUCUAUGGAAGAUUUUUGUUUCAUAUCCAAGUAAAAAACGGGGAGAGGAUUCUUGCUCGAUAUAGUAAUUGUACGUUUCGACGUCAAUCUUCAAUGUCCGCACCAUCAAAGGAGGAGAUUGAAUUUGUUGCUGAAACAAAUUCCUGAUUCAACCAAUCCUAUAGAAAUUGUUGCUUUAGGCUAUAGUCUAGCUGCGUGAUUGCUCACCUUUCUUCGCAUCAAGUGUCACAAUAGUACCAACCAAAAUUUUUCAUCAGAAGAAAAGCUUGACUGGCACAAAAUUCCAUUGGUUACCCAAGACUAAUUACUAGUAAAGAUUUUACACCACUUCAAUCGAUGUCAAUUAAUUUUGAGACGAAUUUUGGGUUGGUUUUUUUUUUUUUUUUUUUUUCUAUUCAAGUUAUAGUUCUUUCAAGAUUCUAGUCCAGGUUCUUCAACACUUGCAAUAAUUUAUUGACCCGGAGCUCGAUCCCAAACAAGUUGUUGGUUAAGGUACAGAUAGAUGCUAGGUGCAUACAGUAAAAGAGAACUUCGGUUCCAUUGAAGGGUCAUCGGUUAAGCUAGCAACUGAUUAUUUUAUUUAUGACCUUUCACUUCCAGACAAAUCCAGGGAGCUGGAUAAACAAGAAAUUUACGUGCAUCCCACAAGAAAUUUAGCUGCUGAUGCCUAUUACAGCGGUAGGGAAAAGGGAGGAGACAGAAAUUCACGACCAACAACAGUCACAUCAGACGCAAGCUGAGCAUCUCAUUUGGCGGAUAUUGUCGUUACUAAACCUAACCAGGCCAAAUUGCUAUUUGCUACACAUGAAAAACACCUGCUACGACUACAUAGUACAGUGAUAGUAGUACUGACAAAUUAACAGGGACGACAGGUAGGCAAAGCCAGCGGGCAGCGACAGAAGCUGCGUAGACGCGUAUCUGACGUUUCAGCUAAUUAAUCCUUUGUAACUAAGGUCGCACUACGGGUAGGUGUUGCUGAGCUUGCAUCAUCUGCAGAUUCACUCUUGAGCAUGAACGGAUCAUCUCACCGGCCAAUGGGAUCACUGGCAGGUUGUCACAGUUGCAUAUCUCAAUCAUGAAUCCAUCUGGAUCAUGGAAGAACAGCUGAUCCACAUAAAUCCCACCUUCUUCCACUCGCUGCCUCACGUACUUGAUUUCCAUUUCCGCCAGCAUCUUCUCCACUGCAGCCAUACUGUCACACUGCACAUAGCCCAUGAUUCAAGCCAAUUUUUUUUUUUUGGGGGGGGGGAGGUAUAAAAUUAUACUACAGCAGCAGGAAACCCACAAAAUUUAGUGCUGUUUUUGGUUUUUGUGACAAUGAUAGGAUGUCUACAAGUUUGUAACGUAAAUAGUACUAUUAGGUUACGUUGACAGAGUCCAUAUCAGGACUUCCUCAACUGAGUAGAUAAUACGCAAGAAACUGCAUUACAUCCGGCAUAAUUCUGUCACGGCAUUUUCCUUUUUCCUAUUAUUUUUGGUACAUUUCUUUAACAGAAAAUUCUAUAUUGAAUUUUAGAAACCGUCCUCAAUUCCUAGUUCCGAAAUAUGUACCCAAAAGGGGAAGUGGAAUCUUCCUUUUUUCAGAGGAGAUGACGACAACUAUUGUAUAAUCUAUCUAUCAUAAAUUAUAGGGAAGGGGAGUCUAAAGAAACUGUGUUUGAAACUAGCAGAUACAUAAAACUUACUAGAUCAAGACAGUGCUUUGGCGCAAUCCUUAAAUUUUUUUUUUUUAGUGCAGGUAAGAUUUAAACUUGCUCAGUGGUUUCCCUUCUUUGAUACUAUCAUCGUAUCAUUGCAGAAGCACAAUUUAUCAAUAAUUUCUGGUCACUUUAGAGAAACCUAGUUAAUAGCUGUACCAAAUGCUACUAGUCUAUACUACCUUCAAUUUGGAAUCAAAGUUUUUGACUUCAUCCAGGUAUUCAUUUACGGUCUCUUUCUCGUAAUCAUAGUGCUUUCAUGAGAUCACAGAGGAGCGGAAAAAACAUGGUACGAAAUGAAAGAACACGCACACGCACACAGUCACACACACACCAGAGUGAAAGUAGUUGAAGCAAAAAGCAGAGGUGCAGUCAUGCACCACCAGUAGCGUUAUUAAGACCCCCACCCGAAACACAGACAACAUCAGAUUUCACAGCACCAAUACUAAGACCGAGAAACAACC
rnacentral:lncRNA from 1 species